CCCAGGUGUGGCCAGGAACGCCCAGGUAUAGCCUGGACCCCCCCCAGGUGUGGCCAGGAACGCCCAGGUAUAGCCUGGACCCCCCCAGGUGUGGCCAGGAACUCCCACGUGUAGCCAGGACCCCCACAGGUGUGACCAGGACCCCGUUAGGUGUGGCCCUGGCCCCCCCAGGUAUGGCCUGGACCCCCCCCAGGUGUGGCCCUGAGCCCUGCACCGACCCCACAGUGCAGGGUGGGCUGAGGGCAGGGAGGUCUGUGCAGGACAGAUGUGUAAAUGGACAGGUGUGUAAAUGGACAGGUGUGUGAGGUACAGGUGUGUAAAUGGACAGGUGUGUAAAUGGACAGGUGUGUGAGGUACAGGUGUGUAAAUGGACAGGUGUGUGAGGUACAGGUGUGUAAAUGGACAGGGAUGUAAAUGGACAGGUGUGUGGCAGGUAUGGCAGGUACAGGUGUGUGUCAGGUACAGGUGUACCAGGUACAGGUGUGUACCAGGUACAGGUGUGUUCCAGGUACAGGUGUGCCAGGUACAGGUAUACCAGGUACAGGUGUACCAAGUACAGGUGUGCCAGGUACAGGUGUGUCAGGUACAGAUGUGUUCCAGGUACAGGUGUGUAUCAGGUACAGGUGUGUCAGGUACAGGUGUGCCAGGUACAGGUGUGUCAGGUACAGGUGUACCAGGUACAGGUGUGUUCCAGGUACAGGUGUGUUCCAGGUACAGGUGUGCCAGGUACAGGUGUGUCAGGUACAGGUAUACCAGGUACAGGUGUGCCAGGUACAGGUGUGUCAGGUACAGGUGUGUCAGGUACAGGUAUGCCAGGUACAGGUGUGUCAGGUACAGGUGUGUCAGGUACAGGUGUGCCAGGUACAGGUGUGUCAGGUACAGGUGUGUCAGGUACAGGUGUGCCAGGUACAGGUGUGUGUCAGGUACAGGUGUACCAGGUACAGGUGUGUCAGGUACAGGUAUACCAGGUACAGAUGUGUUCCAGGUACAGGUGUGUCAGGUACAGGUAUACCAGGUACAGGUGUACCAGGUACAGGUGUGGCAGGUACAGGUGUGUCAGGUACAGGUAUACCAGGUACAGGUAUACCAGGUACAGGUGUGUCAGGUACAGGUAUACCAGGUACAGGUGUACCAGGUACAGGUAUGCCAGGUACAGGUGUGUCAGGUACAGGUGUGCCAGGUACAGGUGUACCAGGUACAGGUGUGCCAGGUACAGGUGUGCCAGGUGUGCGGCAGGUACCGUGCAUGUUGUAGUCAAAGGUGAGCUCCUCCCCUGCCCGGAUGGGCCGCGUGGCGAAGAGCGCGAUGCGCGGCAGGCGCUGGUCCAGGUUCUCGAUGAACACGUUGUACACCUGCAGGUUGGGGUCACACUGCCCCGCCCGGCAGGUGAGACACACCUGGCAGGUGAGCCCCACCCCCAUGAGCUCCACCCACGGCACCCGAGACACGCCCACACCUGGGGAACAGGUGCUGGAAGCGCCACCCACACGGCAGGUAAGGCCACACCUCUGCACAGGUAAAGGCCCAUCUGGGAGCAGGUUCAGCCCCACCUGUGGGCGGGUAAACCCACACCUGAACCCAGGUAAGCCCACACCUGUGGGCAGGUAAACCUACACCUGAGCCCAGGUAAACCCACACCUGAGAACAGGUAAAUCCCACACCUGUGAACGGGUAAACCCACACCUGAGCUCAGGUAAACCCACACCUGUGGGCAGGUAAAUCCACAGCUGAGAACAGGUAAAUCCCACACCUGAGUUCAGGUAAACCCCCACGUGUGGGCGCGUAAACCCGCACCUGAAACCAGGUAAAUUCACUGCUGAGCCCAGGUAAGCCCCCACCUGUGGGAGGGUAAACCCACAACUCGGCCCACAUGAAUACCCUCCUGUGGGCAGGUAAACCCACACCUGAGAACAGGUAAACCCACACCUGAGAACAGGUAAACCCACACCUGAGAACAGGUAAAUCCCACACCUGUGGGCAGCUAAACCCACACCUGAGAACAGGUAAACCCACACCUGAGAACAGGUAAAUCCCACACCUGAGCCCAGGUAAACCCACACCUGAGAACAGGUAAAUCCCACACCUGAGCUCAGGUAAACCCACACCUGAGCCCAGGUAAACCCACACCUGAGAACAGGUAAAUCCCACACCUGUGGCUGGCUAAACCCACACCUGAGCUCAGGUAAACCCGCACCUGAGAACAGGUAAAUCCCACACCUGUGAACGGGUAAACCCACACCUGAGCCCAGGUAAACCCACACCUGAGAACAGGUAAAUCCCACACCUGAGAACAGGUAAACCCACACCUGAGCUCAGGUAAACCCCCACGUGUGGGUGGGUAAACCCACACCUGAGCCCAGGUAAGCCCACCUGAGCCCAGGUAAGCCCCCACCUGUGGGCGGGUAAACCCACACCUGAACCCAGGUAAACCCACACCUGAGGGCAGGUAAACCCGCACCUGUGGGCAGGUAAGCCCACACCUGAGCCCAGGUAAACCCACACCUGAGCCCAGGUAAGCCC
rnacentral:lncRNA from 1 species